GGGAUCUUUACCCCUUGUUUCAUGGUAAUAAUCAUCUCACCAUUAGCUACGCAUUCUUGGAACAUGUUGAAUAUUGGUCCCUCUAAAAUGUUCCCAAAAGUGUAAAUACAAUUCCACAGAAAGACCAUCUGUUCCAGGUGCUUUGCCCUUCAUUGUCACUCCCUGAUCUGAUUCACCUGUCCUUGUGAUUGUCUGCACCCCCUCCAGGUAUCGUUGAUUUUCCCCAGUGUAUUUAUCCCUGUGUUUCCUGUCUCUCUGUGUAUUUAUCCCUGUGUUUCCUGUCUCUCUGUGUAUUUAUCCCUGUGUUUCCUGUCUCUCUGUGUAUUUAUCUCUGUGUUUCCUGUCUCUCUGUGUAUUUAUCCCUGUGUUUCCUGUCUCUCUGUGUAUUUAUCCCUGUGUUUCCUGUCUCCCUGUGUAUUUAUCCCUGUGUUUCCUGUCUCUCUGUGUAUUUAUCCCUGUGUUUCCUGUCUCUCUGUGUAUUUAUCUCUGUGUUUCCUGUCUCUCUGUGUAUUUAUCCCUGUGUUUCCUGUCUCUCUGUGUAUUUAUCUCUGUGUUUCCUGUCUCUCUGUGUAUUUAUCCAUGUGUUUCCUGUCUCUCUGUGUAUUUAUCCCUGUGUUUCCUGUCUCUCUGUGUAUUUAUCCCUGUGUUUCCUGUCUCUCUGUGUAUUUAUCUCUGUGUUUCCUGUCUCUCUGUACCAGUUCAUCUUGUAUGUUUCCAAGUCAACCAGCGUUUCUCCUGCUUUUAGCAUUCUCCUUUUUCUAGUCCUCCAGGUUUUCACCCUUGCCUGUUUCUGGACUUUGACCCUUCGCCUGUCUGACCAUUCUGCCUGCCUUGACCUCGAGCCUGUCCGCCACUCUGUACCUCCUGGACUCUGAACUGGUUUUGACCUUUUUGCCUGUCCAUGACCGUUCUCUUGCCUACCCCUUUGGAUUAUUAAACAUUGUAAGACUCCAACCAUCUGCAUCUGGGUCUCGCCUUGUACCUUGGUAAUUAUAGAUAUAAG
rnacentral:lncRNA from 8 species